GGGGGUGUAGCUCAGCCCGGCAGAGCACUUCGUUCGCAACGAAGAAGUCACGGGUUCAAAUCCCGUCACCUCCA
rnacentral:tRNA from 1 species